GACGAACGCUGGCGGCGUGCUUAACACAUGCAAGUCGAACGGAAAGGCCCUGCUUUUGUGGGGUGCUCGAGUGGCGAACGGGUGAGUAACACGUGAGUAACCUGCCCUUGACUUUGGGAUAACUUCAGGAAACUGGGGCUAAUACCGGAUAGGAGCUCCUGCUGCAUGGUGGGGGUUGGAAAGUUUCGGCGGUUGGGGAUGGACUCGCGGCUUAUCAGCUUGUUGGUGGGGGAGUGGCUUACCAAGGCUGUGACGGGUAGCCGGCCUGAGAGGGUGACCGGCCACAUUGGGACUGAGAUACGGCCCAGACUCCUACGGGAGGCAGCAGUGGGGAAUAUUGCACAAUGGGCGGAAGCCUGAUGCAGCAACGCCGCGUGCGGGAUGACGGCCUUCGGGUUGUAAACCGCUUUCGCCUGUGACGAAGCGUGAGUGACGGUAAUGGGUAAAGAAGCACCGGCUAACUACGUG
rnacentral:rRNA from 1 species